UCCAGCGAAUGCCGGCAGUCUCAUCAGACAAAUCUAACUGAUGAUAAGGGUUUCGCUCGUUUACUCACUUAAGAGCACAGCUCACGCCACGAGCUGACGACAGCCGUGCAACACCUGUCUUCUCGUUCCCUUGCGGGCACGGUCCUAUUUCUAGGACUUUCGAGAGAUGUCAAACCCUGGUAAGGUUCUCCGGUUAUCGUCGAAUUAAACCACACGCUCCACCGCUUGUGCGAUCCCCCGUCAAUUCCUUUGAGUUUUAGCCUUGCGGCCGUACUCCCCAGGCGGCACACUUAACGCGUUAGCUUCGCUACAAGAAGGGUCGAUGCUUCUGAUAGCUAGUGUGCAUCGUUUACGGCGUGGACUAC
rnacentral:misc_RNA from 1 species